rnacentral:rRNA from 1 species
UACGAAGGGGGCUAGCGUUGUUCGGAUUUACUGGGCGUAAAGCGCACGUAGGCGGAUCGUUAAGUGAGGGGUGAAAUCCCAGGGCUCAACCCUGGAACUGCCUUUCAUACUGGCGAUCUUGAGUCCGGAAGAGGUGAGUGGAACUCCUAGUGUAGAGGUGGAAUUCGUAGAUAUUAGGAAGAACACCAGUGGCGAAGGCGGCUCACUGGUCCGGUACUGACGCUGAGGUGCGAAAGCGUGGGGAGCAAACAGGG